GGGGAUGUAGCUCAAUAGUAGAGCAUUGGCUUGGCAUGCCCCACACCUGGAUUCGAUCCCUAGCAUUACCA
rnacentral:tRNA from 1 species